AGCGCAUACGGUGGAUGCCUUGGCAGUCAGAGGCGAUGAAAGACGUGGUAGCCUGCGAUAAGCUUUGGGGAGUCGGCAAACAGACUGUGAUCCAGAGAUCUCUGAAUGGGGGAACCCACUCAGCACAAGCUGAGUAUCUUGUACUGAAUACAUAGGUGCAAGAGGCGAACCAGGGGAACUGAAACAUCUAAGUACCCUGAGGAAAAGAAAUCAACCGAGAUUCCCUUAGUAGUGGCGAGCGAACGGGGACCAGCCCUUAAGUUGGUUUGAGAUUAGUGGAACGCUCUGGAAAGUGCGGCCAUAGUGGGUGAUAGCCCCGUACACGAAAAUCUCUUGUCAAUGAAAUCGAGUAGGACGGAGCACGAGAAACUUUGUCUGAACAUGGGGGGACCAUCCUCCAAGGCUAAAUACUACUGACUGACCGAUAGUGAACCAGUACCGUGAGGGAAAGGCGAAAAGAACCCCGGAGAGGGGAGUGAAAUAGAACCUGAAACCGUAUGCGUACAAGCAGUGGGAGCCUACUUUGUUAGGUGACUGCGUACCUUUUGUAUAAUGGGUCAGCGACUUAUAUUCAGUGGCGAGCUUAACCGAAUAGGGGAGGCGUAGCGAAAGCGAGUCUUAAUAGGGCGUUUAGUCGCUGGGUAUAGACCCGAAACCGGGCGAUCUAUCCAUGGGCAGGUUGAAGGUUAGGUAACACUGACUGGAGGACCGAACCGACUACCGUUGAAAAGUUAGCGGAUGACCUGUGGAUCGGAGUGAAAGGCUAAUCAAGCUCGGAGAUAGCUGGUUCUCCUCGAAAGCUAUUUAGGUAGCGCCUCAUGUAUCACUGUAGGGGGUAGAGCACUGUUUCGGCUAGGGGGUCAUCCCGACUUACCAAACCGAUGCAAACUCCGAAUACCUACAAGUGCCGAGCAUGGGAGACACACGGCGGGUGCUAACGUCCGUCGUGAAAAGGGAAACAACCCAGACCGUCAGCUAAGGUCCCAAAGUCAUGGUUAAGUGGGAAACGAUGUGGGAAGGCUUAGACAGCUAGGAGGUUGGCUUAGAAGCAGCCAUCCUUUAAAGAAAGCGUAAUAGCUCACUAGUCGAGUCGGCCUGCGCGGAAGAUGUAACGGGGCUCAAACCAUGCACCGAAGCUACGGGUAUCACCUUUGGUGAUGCGGUAGAGGAGCGUUCUGUAAGCCUGUGAAGGUGAGUUGAGAAGCUUGCUGGAGGUAUCAGAAGUGCGAAUGCUGACAUGAGUAACGACAAUGCGAGUGAAAAACUCGCACGCCGAAAGACCAAGGUUUCCUGCGCAACGUUAAUCGACGCAGGGUUAGUCGGUCCCUAAGGCGAGGCUGAAAAGCGUAGUCGAUGGAAAACAGGUUAAUAUUCCUGUACUUCCAGUUAUUGCGAUGGAGGGACGGAGAAGGCUAGGCCAGCUUGGCGUUGGUUGUCCAAGUUUAAGGUGGUAGGCUGAGAUCUUAGGCAAAUCCGGGAUUUCAAGGCCGAGAGCUGAUGACGAGUUGCCAUUAGGCGACGAAGUGGUUGAUGCCAUGCUUCCAAGAAAAGCUCCUAAGCUUCAGAUAACUGGGAACCGUACCCCAAACCGACACAGGUGGUUAGGUAGAGAAUACCAAGGCGCUUGAGAGAACUCGGGUGAAGGAACUAGGCAAAAUGGCACCGUAACUUCGGGAGAAGGUGCGCCGGUGAGGGUGAAGGACUUGCUCCGUAAGCCCAUGCCGGUCGAAGAUACCAGGCCGCUGCGACUGUUUAUUAAAAACACAGCACUCUGCAAACACGAAAGUGGACGUAUAGGGUGUGACGCCUGCCCGGUGCCGGAAGGUUAAUUGAUGGGGUUAGCGCAAGCGAAGCUCUUGAUCGAAGCCCCGGUAAACGGCGGCCGUAACUAUAACGGUCCUAAGGUAGCGAAAUUCCUUGUCGGGUAAGUUCCGACCUGCACGAAUGGCGUAACGAUGGCGGCGCUGUCUCCACCCGAGACUCAGUGAAAUUGAAAUCGCUGUGAAGAUGCAGUGUAUCCGCGGCUAGACGGAAAGACCCCGUGAACCUUUACUAUAGCUUUGCACUGGACUUUGAAUUUGCUUGUGUAG
rnacentral:rRNA from 1 species